AUUGAACGCUGGCGGCAUGCCUUACACAUGCAAGUCGAACGGUAACAGGUCUUCGGAUGCUGACGAGUGGCGAACGGGUGAGUAAUACAUCGGAACGUGCCUAGUAGUGGGGGAUAACUACUCGAAAGAGUGGCUAAUACCGCAUGAGAUCUACGGAUGAAAGCAGGGGAUCGCAAGACCUUGUGCUACUAGAGCGGCCGAUGGCAGAUUAGGUAGUUGGUGGGAUAAAAGCUUACCAAGCCGACGAUCUGUAGCUGGUCUGAGAGGACGAUCAGCCACACGGCGACUGAGACACGGCCCAGACUCCUACGGGAGGCAGCAGUGGGGAAUUUUGGACAAUGGGCGCAAGCCUGAUCCAGCAAUGCCGCGUGCAGGAUGAAGGCCUUCGGGUUGUAAACUGCUUUUGUACGGAACGAAAAGCCCCGGGUUAAUACCCUGGGGUCAUGACGGUACCGUAAGAAUAAGCACCGGCUAACUACGUGCCAGCAGCCGCGGUAA
rnacentral:rRNA from 1 species